GCCAGUAAAAUUUUAAUGUGAACCUGGGUUGGCCCAUCCACACAUUCCACCACUGCAAACUUACAUGAUUUGCUGUCCUUCAGUCGACAAAGGAACAGCAGCCAAUCCCAACCCUCUCUGAAUCUGGACUGGAGGAAUCUACUCAAAAACACCUGGGUGCCAAAUGGGGCGCAUCACUUGCCCAGGGAAGUGAGGGAAGGAGGCGACACCCCGGGAUUGGACCGGGUCUGUAUAAUAAUAUUUUUUUCUCCGGCUGGUGCAGAGCUCGCUCUCCUCGCCUCAAAAUAACCUUCGGCAAAGUUUGUCAAGACUUAUUGAGGCCUUGGCGCGCGUUUUGGCCCUUUCGCCCGGUAGGCGCCUUGCUGCGCCUGAGUCGACGACGCCACCUCCUUUUUUCCCCCCCUGAAGGCGCGAACGCCUUUGAGAAGACACGGCCAAAACAACGACGCCAGAGCCAAGGGGGCCGGCAGGAAUUAACUGCUUAGCUCGGUAACUUAGCAAGCCAGUCAGUCCAUGGUUGAGGUGGAGGAGCCCAAAUUAUCAUGGCCACAAAACCCGAUUAUAAUAAUAAUAAACUCUGCAACCCAGACAAAACAUUUAUCUCCUCGCCGCUCUGCCACAAGGACCCGCGUGGUCAGGAUUCAUGGCGACCAUCCGAUUCUGUGGAGAAUUGUCUCUCCUCAUGCGUGUGUGAGAGAAAAAGAGAAGGAAAGGUGGAAUCGCAUUUCGGACACUUUAAUAAAGACUAGUUAAACUCUGGCAAGGGCUUGCAGCGCCAUCUUGGAUCGCGACUGCUCAGAAAGCAAGACCUACAGAUUCCUGGACUCAAUGGAGCUCAGCUUCCUCCCGUUAGUUCUUAAUCUUGCUCCGGAGUUGGAGAGGCUGCUUGGCUCCUCGGCUUGCUAACCGAGCUUGACUUCACGAGAGUGCAGAAACACACAGGCUGGAUGCCAAGAAUAGGAGGCCAUUUGCAUGGAUUUGAUCAACAUCAAGUUCACAUUGCAAAAGAUGCGGGAAGAGAAAAGAAAUAACAUUUUUGGAGGGCAGAUGAAAAAGAACUCCACAAUCCUUAAUGCCAUUUUUUGGUGCAUAUCCAGUAUUGGGCUGUAGAAAACAGAAGGUACUUUUUUUACCAUUGACUGCAAAGGGCUCUCUGUGUGUGGUUGUAAAUGUUAUCAGUUUUCAGAACUUCAUAGAAGAGGUGCUUUUAAGAUAUUAGAAUAAGACUCCUGAAAUAAUAAUAAAAAUUUGACAGCCGCUAUAUCUUUUCACACAUGUUUAUUGGAUUUAAAGGAAAUAUAAAAGAAAUGCCAAAAUAGGACAGAAGAGAACUAUUAUGUAGGAUGUGACUGUAUUAUGUGGCACUGGAAUUUCAGCAAAUAUUUUGGCUGAUAAAUGCAUUCAUAUAAAAUACAAAAUGGAGUGGCGUUUUAACCCACCUUUUUCCAGUUAUGUGACUUAUUCAAUGGAUAUAUGGCUUUAAGCAGAAAUGCCAGCUAAAUUAUAUUGAUGUUUCUUACCUUAAAAUUGAGUAAGCCCAUUGCUGUUUCCACAAAAGGGAGGAAAUUCAUAGGUUCUACAAGUACCCGGCCUUUUAAAUGGUGUGCAAAUUUCUCUGUAAACUAAGCACCGCAGAGGGAAAUGAUCAGUUUCGUUUUUAUAAAAAAAUAAAAUCGAUAAAAUGGUACGACUUA